rnacentral:rRNA from 1 species
ACGAACGCUGGCGGCGUGCUUAACACAUGCAAGUCGAGCGGUAAGGCCCUUUCGGGGGUACACGAGCGGCGAACGGGUGAGUAACACGUGGGUGACCUGCCCUCAGCUCUGGGAUAAGCCUGGGAAACCGGGUCUAAUACUGGAUAUGACUCCAUGACGCAUGUUGUGGGGUGAAAGCCUUGUGCGGCUGAGGAUGGGCCCGCGGCCUAUCAGCUUGUUGGUGGGGUGAGGCCUACCAAGGCGACGACGGGUAGCCGGCCUGAGAGGGCGACCGGCCACACUGGGACUGAGACACGGCCCAGACUCCUACGGGAGGCAGCAGUGGGGAAUCUUGCGCAAUGGGCGAAAGCCUGACGCAGCGACGCCGCGUGAGGGAUGACGGCC